rnacentral:rRNA from 1 species
UGAUCCUGGCUCAGGACGAACGUUGGCGGCGUGCCUAAUACAUGCAAGUCAACUGAAGCAAGGUAACCAUAUCUUGUGGAGGUGGCGCACGGGUGAGUAACACGUAGGUAAUCUGCCUUCACGUCUGACAAACUCCGGGAAACCGGAGCUAAUAGCAGAUGAUGCUACGGCUUGACCUCAAGACAGUUGUUAAAGCUUCUGCGCCCGAAGAUGAGCCUGCGUCUGAUUAGGUAGUUGGCGGAGUAAUAGCCCACCAAGGCAACAAUCACUAACUGGUCUGAAAGGAUGAUCAGUCCCACUGGAACUGAGACACGGUCCAUACUCCUACGGGAGGCAACCCUAAGGAAUAUUGCUCAAUGGGGGAAACCCUGAACCAUCAACGCCACGUGAGGGAUGAAGGGCUUUUGCUUGUAAACCUCUGUACUGAGGGAAAAAAUUUCCACUCUGUGGAAUAUGAUGGUACCUCAAAAGUAAGCCCCGGCUAACUACGUGCCAUCAGCCGCGGUAAUACAUAUGGGGCAAACGUUGUCCGGAUUUACUGGGUGUGAACGGUGCUCACGCGGUUUUGUAAGUCAAAACUGAAAUCCUAGGGCUUAACUCUGGAACUGCUUUUUAUACUGCUAGGCUUGAAUGUCGAAGAUGAGGAUGGAAUUUCUGGUGUAGCAGUGAAAUGCGUAGAUAUCAGAUAGAACACCAGUGGCGAAAGGCGGUCCUCUGGUCCACUAUUGACACUCAAGCACGAAAGCGUGUGGAGCAAACAUGAUUAGAUACCCUGGUAGUCCCCCCCUUAAACCAUGAAUACUAGACGUUGGGGUUAAACUCAAUGUCUCAGCUCACGCAGUAGUAUUCCACCUGAGUGAGUACGAUCGCUAGGUUGAACUCAGACGGAUUGAC